GAUGAAGAACGUAGCGAAAUGCGAUAAGUAAUGUGAAUUGCAGAAUUCAGUGAAUCAUCGAAUCUUUGAACGCACAUUGCGCCCGCCAGUAUUCUGGCGGGCAUGCCUGUUCGAGCGUCAUUUCAACCAUCAAGCCCCCUGCUUGUGUUGGGGACCUGCGGCUGCCGCAGGCCCUGAAAACCAGUGGCGGGCUCGCUAGUCACUCCGAGCGUAGUAAUACAUCUCGCUCAGGGCGUGCUGCGGGUUCCGGCCGUUAAAAGCCUUAUUUUACCCAAGGUUGACCUCAGAUCAGGUAGGAAGACCCGCUGAACUUAAGCAUAUCAAUAAGCGGAGGA
rnacentral:misc_RNA from 1 species